CGACACGCUCUAUAAUCUCAUACGGUCCAAUGAAUCUUGGACUCAAUUUGCCUUUACGACCGAAUCUGAGUACUUUCUUCCAUGGUGAGACUUUCAAAAACACUUUAUCGCCGGUCUGAAAUUCUAUAUCUUUUCUUUUCAAAUCCGCAUAAGAUUUCUGACGAUCCGAUGCUGAUUUCAGACUGUCCCGAAUCACUUCCACUUUCUGUUCGGUCUCUUUAAUCAAAUCAACCCCGUGUAUCUUAUUUUCACUGAGCUCGG
rnacentral:lncRNA from 1 species